rnacentral:rRNA from 1 species
GACGAACGCUGGCGGCGUGCCUAAUACAUGCAAGUCGAGCGAAUCUUUAGGAGCUUGCUCCUGAAGAUUAGCGGCGGACGGGUGAGUAACACGUGGGCAACCUGCCUGUAAGACUGGGAUAACUUCGGGAAACCGGAGCUAAUACCGGAUAAUCCUUUCCUUCACAUGAAGGAAAGCUGAAAGACGGUUUCGGCUGUCACUUACAGAUGGGCCCGCGGCGCAUUAGCUAGUUGGUGGGGUAACGGCUCACCAAGGCGACGAUGCGUAGCCGACCUGAGAGGGUGAUAGGCCACACUGGGACUGAGACACGGCCCAGACUCCUACGGGAGGCAGCAGUAGGGAAUCUUCCGCGAUGGACGAAAGUCUGACGGAGCAACGCCGCGUGAGCGAAGAAGGCCUUCGGGUCGUAAAGCUCUGUUGUCAGGGAAGAACAAGUACCGGAGUAACUGCCGGUACCUUGACGGUACCUGACCAGAAAGCCACGGCUAACUACGUGCCAGCCGCCGCCGUAACAC